UUUUUUUUCAGGAGACUGGAUAAUUCAACGCAGACAGAGCCAGACUGGAGUUUUUUUUUACCUGCAGAAAGCACAAUCUUAAACGGCCAUAGACAAGUGCAGAAUUUUAGCUUCCAUUUUUUUUGUCUGGAAGACUUUUGUUUCCUCAAGCUCUUCUCGUUAAUUAUACAGUUUGAACGCCACCGCUGAAAAGACGUUUUUGUGCCUUUACUGCUUGACCAACCAGACACCUGCUGCAGGGCCAAUGCUGGAGACGCCGACGACCAUCACCAAACUUCUCACUAAAUGAGGCUGCAGGCUCUGGAUUCUAGAAAUGUGAAAUCUUCUCUGGACCGACGCGCCUACCGACAGCCUACCUUUCAGGUGCGGGGGGCCCACGGUAGACACGGCAGGGGACGAGGCCUGGCCGAAGCACUUGAAGGAGGUCUGCUCUCCAGAGGAGUCGUCUGAAGCCCCGUUCUCCUUUUUCUGCUGCUCCUCGUAUGAACGCAUGGAUUGCAGAGCCAGCUGUUUCCUGUGCAGGGGUACUCGGGUUAUUAUGAGCGGUGGUCACAGCUCACAGGUCAGAAGCCAUAUCAGCCGCUGCACGAAUAGCAUGGACGACUGUUUAGGCUGGAGACCUGAAGCGAUGAAGACCCUGACUGACUCACCUACGCGGCAGGUCGAGCCCCAAACCUGAGGCUAAUUUCUGCAGGUUUGCAAUACAUCAACAGGCUGAUACUGCUACAGCAGCGAGGCUUUGGAGAUAAAGGACACAGAAAACAAAGAAUACAGGCGCACACAGGAGUCACGAGUUCCCACUUUGGCACGUUUUUCCAUGCGAGUGAAAUAUGCUGGGGUUUUUUUUUUUUUUUU